GUGUCAGCCGCCGCGGUAAUACGGAGGGUGCAAGCGUUAUUCGGAUUUAUUGGGCGUAAAGGGCGUGUAGGUGGUCUGAUAAGUCAGGUGUGAAAGCCCCUGGCUCAACCAGGGAAGUGCAUUUGAAACUAUCAGACUUGAGUACGGGAGGGGGAAGUGGAAUUCCUGGUGUAGAGGUGAAAUUCGUAGAUAUCAGGAGGAAUACCGGUGGCGAAGGCGACUUCCUGGACCGAUACUGACACUGAGACGCGAAAGCGUGGGGAGCAAACAGGAUUAGAUACCCUCGUAGUCC
rnacentral:rRNA from 1 species